rnacentral:rRNA from 1 species
GUGGGGAAUAUUGCACAAUGGAGGGAACUCUGAUGCAGCGACGCCGCGUGAGCGAUGAAGGGAUUCGUUUCGUAAAGCUCUGUUCUAUGGGAAGAAAAGGACUGUACCAUAGAAGAAAGCUCCGGCUAAAUACGUGCCAGCAGCCGCGGUAAUACGUAUGGAGCGAGCGUUGUCCGGAAUUAUUGGGCGUAAAGGGUGCGCAGGCGGCUUAACAAGUUGGAUGUGAAAUGUUGUGGCUCAACCACAAACGUGCAUCCAAAACUGUAAAGCUUGAGUUAAGGAGAGGUAAGUGGAAUUCCUGGUGUAGCGGUGGAAUGCGUAGAUAUCAGGAGGAAUACCGGUGGCGAAGGCGACUUACUGGACUUAAACUGACGCUCAGGCACGAAAGCGUGGGGAGCAAACAGGAUUAGAAACCCUAGUAGUCC